rnacentral:rRNA from 1 species
UACGGAGGGUGCAAGCGUUGUCCGGAUUUAUUGGGUUUAAAGGGUGCGUAGGCGGCUUUUUAAGUCAGCGGUGAAAUACUUCGGCUCAACCGAGGAACUGCCGUUGAUACUGGAAGGCUUGAGUACUGAUGAAGUGGGCGGAAUUGAAGGUGUAGCGGUGAAAUGCUUAGAUAUCGUCAAGAACACCGAUAGUGAAGACAGCUAACUAAGCUCAAACUGACGCUGAGGCACGAAAGUGUGGGGAUCAAACAGG